rnacentral:rRNA from 1 species
AGUUUGAUCCUGGCUCAGGACGAACGCUGGCGGCGUGCCUAACACAUGCAAGUCUGGGAGAAUAAGGUAGCAAUAUCUUUAGUAAACCGGCGCACGGGUGAGUAAUACGUAGGUAACCUGCCCUUUGGUCUGGGAUAACCCCGCGAAAGCGGGGCUAAUACCGGAUGAUGCAGCGGCUCCACAUGGAGAUGUUGUUAAACCCCGCAAGGGGGCCAAUGGAUGGGCCUGCGUCCCAUUAGAUAGUUGGUGAGGUAACGGCUCACCAAGUCUGCGAUGGGUAGCUGAUCUGAGAGGAUGAUCAGCCACACUGGAACUGAGAUACGGUCCAGACUCCUACGGGAGGCAGCAGUGAGGAAUAUUGCGCAAUGGACGAAAGUCUGACGCAGCGACGCCGCGUGAAGGAUGAAGGCCCUUUGGGUCGUAAACUUCUGUAGAGAGGGAAGAAUGUCCCGUUCAUCGGGAUUGACGGUACCUCUAAAGUAAGGAUCGGCCAACUACGUGCCAGCAGCCGCGGUAAUACGUAGGAUCCGAGCGUUGUCCGGAAUCACUGGGUGUAAAGGGAGCGCAGGCGGGCUUUCAAGUCGGUGGUGAAAUCUUACAGCUUAACUGUAAAACUGCCUCCGAUACUGUAAGUCUUGAGUGUGGAAGAGGGCGAUGGAAUUCAUGGUGUAGCGGUGAAAUGCGUAGAUAUCAUGAA